GGACUACGGGGGUAUCUAAUCCCGUUCGCUCCCCUAGCCUUCGCCCCUCACCGUCAGGUCCGUUCUCGUCAAGCGCCUUCGCCACUGGUGGUCCCCCGAGGAUUAGAGCAUUUCACCGCUACCCUCAGAGUACCCUCGACGUCUCCCGGCCUCAAGACUAGCAGUAUCCCUUGCAAGCCGAACGGUUAAGCCGUCCGAUUUCACAAGGGACUUGCCAACCCGGCUACGAGCGCUUUAGGCCCAAUAAUCGCGACCACCACUUGGGCUGCGGGUAUUACCGCGGCGGCUGGCACCCGACUUACCCAGCCCUUAUUCCUGGAGCUUCCUAGACUCCAUAAAAGCCGUCGAACGAAAAGUCCAACGGCACUUGGGGUUCCCCCGUCACGCUUUCGCGCAUUGCGGAGUUUUCGCGCCUGCUGCACCCCAUAGG
rnacentral:rRNA from 1 species